AGUGGCGAACGGGUGAGUAACACGUGGGCAACCUGCCCCUGGCUCUGGGAUAACUCCAAGAAAUUGGGGCUAAUACCGGAUAUGACCGCUGACCGCAUGGUCUGGUGGUGGAAAGAUUUAUCGGCUGGGGAUGGGCCCGCGGCCUAUCAGCUUGUUGGUGGGGUAGUGGCCUACCAAGGCGACGACGGGUAGCCGGCCUGAGAGGGUGACCGGCCACACUGGGACUGAGACACGGCCCAGACUCCUACGGGAGGCAGCAGUGGGGAAUAUUGCGCAAUGGGCGAAAGCCUGACGCAGCGACGCCGCGUGGGGGAUGACGGCCUUCGGGUUGUAAACCUCUUUCAGCAGGGACGAAGCGGAAGUGACGGUACCUGCAGAAGAAGCACCGGCCAACUACGUGCCAGCAGCCGCGGUAAUACGUAGGGUGCAAGCGUUGUCCGGAAUUAUUGGGCGUAAAGAGCUCGUAGGCGGUUCGUCACGUCGGCUGUGAAAACCUGAGGCUCAACCUCAGGCCUGCAGUCGAUACGGGCGGACUUGAGUACUGCAGGGGAGACUGGAAUUCCUGGUGUAGCGGUGAAAUGCGCAGAUAUCAGGAGGAACACCGGUGGCGAAGGCGGGUCUCUGGGCAGUAACUGACGCUG
rnacentral:rRNA from 1 species